GACAGAGGGGGCAAGCGUUGCUCGGAAUCACUGGGCGUAAAGGGCGCGUAGGCGGGAUGGCAAGUCAGUCGUGAAAUCUCUCGGCUCAACCGAGAAACGUCGGCUGAUACUGCCGUUCUUGAGGGAUGCAGAGGAGACUGGAAUUCCCGGUGUAGCGGUGAAAUGUGUAGAGAUCGGGAGGAACACCGGUGGCGAAGGCGGGUCUCUGGGCAUCUCCUGACGCUGAGGCGCGAAAGCGUGGGGAGCAAAAGGG
rnacentral:rRNA from 1 species